GUGGAAAUUGGGGGCCAGAGCUCGCUGGUGACGCGGUCGUCACGUGACCAGAGCUGCCUGGAGCAGAAGUACUGCUAGUCGCCUCCGUCUGGGUACCAGCCCCCUAUAUCACUCUGCAGGCGCGUGAAGGAAGAAGGAAAGUGGCCACGGGCGUUGCAGGUUUGUAGAUCUGUUGGCCAGUAGCUUGCCAGGGAAAGUCGCGGCGAGGGAAGGACCAAAGUGCCUUGGGACCGUGCAGACUGUCCAUCAAUCACUGUGGAAGGACUAUUGACCACAGAAGACAAGAAGAAGGAAUUUACCUGGCUUUGGUAGAGGUUGGUAGAUUCAUCACAGGAGAGCCUCAGGAGCCUGGAAUAGGCUGAAGCUGUCUCCCCUCCACCAUCACUCACUCUGGCCUUAAGAACCCUCUUCUUUCAGGUGAAACAAGACCCUCUCCUGUUCUGUCCUACCCCACCCCCCACCC
rnacentral:lncRNA from 1 species